GUCUACGGCCAUACCACCCUGAAUAUGCCCAAUCUCAUCUGAUCUCAGAAGCUAAGCAGGGUAGGGCCUGGUUAGUACUUGGAUGGAAGACCGCUUAGGAAUACCGGGUGCUGUAGGCU